UACGAAGGGGGCUAGCGUUGUUCGGAAUCACUGGGCGUAAAGCGCACGUAGGCGGAUCUUUAAGUCAGAGGUGAAAUCCCAAGGCUCAACCUUGGAACUGCCUUUGAUACUGGGGAUCUUGAGUCCGGGAGAGGUGAGUGGAACUGCGAGUGUAGAGGUGAAAUUCGUAGAUAUUCGCAAGAACACCAGUGGCGAAGGCGGCUCACUGGCCCGGUACUGACGCUGAGGUGCGAAAGCGUGGGAGCAAACAGGG
rnacentral:rRNA from 1 species